GUCGAACGAACUCUGGUAUUGAUUGGUGCUUGCAUCAUGAUUUACAUUUGAGUGAGUGGCGAACUGGUGAGUAACACGUGGGAAACCUGCCCAGAAGCGGGGGAUAACACCUGGAAACAGAUGCUAAUACCGCAUAACAACUUGGACCGCAUGGUCCGAGUUUGAAAGAUGGCUUCGGCUAUCACUUUUGGAUGGUCCCGCGGCGUAUUAGCUAGAUGGUGAGGUAACGGCUCACCAUGGCAAUGAUACGUAGCCGACCUGAGAGGGUAAUCGGCCACAUUGGGACUGAGACACGGCCCAAACUCCUACGGGAGGCAGCAGUAGGGAAUCUUCCACAAUGGACGAAAGUCUGAUGGAGCAACGCCGCGUGAGUGAAGAAGGGUUUCGGCUCGUAAAACUCUGUUGUUAAAGAAGAACAUAUCUGAGAGUAACUGUUCAGGUAUUGACGGUAUUUAACCAGAAAGCCACGGCUAACUACGUGCCAGCAGCCGCGGUAAUACGUAGGUGGCAAGCGUUGUCCGGAUUUAUUGGGCGUAAAGCGAGCGCAGGCGGUUUUUUAAGUCUGAUGUGAAAGCCUUCGGCUCAACCGAAGAAGUGCAUCGGAAACUGGGAAACUUGAGUGCAGAAGAGGACAGUGGAACUCCAUGUGUAGCGGUGAAAUGCGUAGAUAUAUGGAAGAACACCAGUGGCGAAGGCGGCUGUCUGGUCUGUAACUGACGCUGAGGCUCGAAAGUAUGGGUAGCAAACAGGAUUAGAUACCCUGGUAGUCCAUACCGUAAACGAUGAAUGCUAAGUGUUGGAGGGUUUCCGCCCUUCAGUGCUGCAGCUAACGCAUUAAGCAUUCCGCCUGGGGAGUACGGCCGCAAGGCUGAAACUCAAAGGAAUUGACGGGGGCCCGCACAAGCGGUGGAGCAUGUGGUUUAAUUCGAAGCUACGCGAAGAACCUUACCAGGUCUUGACAUACUAUGCAAAUCUAAGAGAUUAGACGUUCCCUUCGGGGACAUGGAUACAGGUGGUGCAUGGUUGUCGUCAGCUCGUGUCGUGAGAUGUUGGGUUAAGUCCCGCAACGAGCGCAACCCUUAUUAUCAGUUGCCAGCAUUAAGUUGGGCACUCUGGUGAGACUGCCGGUGACAAACCGGAGGAAGGUGGGGAUGACGUCAAAUCAUCAUGCCCCUUAUGACCUGGGCUACACACGUGCUACAAUGGAUGGUACAACGAGUUGCGAACUCGCGAGAGUAAGCUAAUCUCUUAAAGCCAUUCUCAGUUCGGAUUGUAGGCUGCAACUCGCCUACAUGAAGUCGGAAUCGCUAGUAAUCGCGGAUCAGCAUGCCGCGGUGAAUACGUUCCCGGGCCUUGUACACACCGCCCGUCACACCAUGAGAGUUUGUAACACCCAAAGUCGGUGGG
rnacentral:rRNA from 3 species